UACGUAGGUGGCGAGCGUUGUCCGGAAUUACUGGGUGUAAAGGGCGUGUAGGCGGGGAUGUAAGUCAGAUGUGAAACUCCGAAGCUUAACUUCGGAACUGCAUCUGAAACUGUGUCUCUUGAGUGCUGGAGAGGAAAGCGGAAUUCCUAGUGUAGCGGUGAAAUGCGCAGAUAUUUGGAAGAACACCAGUGGCGAAGGCGGCUUCCUGGACUGCGACUGACGCUGAGGCGCGAAAGCUAGGGGAGCGAACAGGAUUAGAAACCCCGGUAGU
rnacentral:rRNA from 1 species